GGUUGAGGAGAGGAACAGAGUGUCUGACUGACUGACCUGGGGACUGUAAAGGCCCUCAGCACACAAAGCUCUCUGCCUCAGAAGCUGGGAUGAAGAGAUGAAGCCCAGAAUCCCCUGUGGUCCUCGUUUUGCACACUACCGUACAGCUCCUACAUUUCUGUGGUUUGCAUUCCCCCGUGAAGCAGCCAAAUGAAUAAACAUUAAAGAUGGAGACCGAAAGAGCAAUAUUCUUGCUAAAGAAGCUCUCUCUUUCAAAAAUCAAUGAGAU
rnacentral:lncRNA from 1 species